GCUCGUGUCGUGAGAUGUGGUUAAGUCCGCAACGAGCGCAACCCCUAGUUGUUAGUUGCCAUCAUUCAGUUGGGCACUCUAGCGAGACUGCCGGUAAUAAACCGGAGGAAGGUGGGGAUGACGUCAAAUCAUCAUGCCCCUUAUGACCUGGGCUACACACGUGCUACAAUGGUUGGUACAACGAGUUGCGAGUCGGUGACGGCGAGCUAAUCUCUUAAAGCCAAUCUCAGUUCGGAUUGUAGGCUGCAACUCGCCUACAUGAAGUCGGAAUCGCUAGUAAUCGCGGAUCAGCACGCCGCGGUGAAUACGUUCCCGGGCCUU
rnacentral:rRNA from 1 species